CAGUCGCCGCGGUAAUACGAAGGGGGCGAGCGUUGCUCGGAAUGACUGGGCGUAAAGGGCGCGUAGGUGGCGUGCACAGUCAGAUGUGAAAUUCCUGGGCUCAACCUGGGGGCUGCAUUUGAUACGUGCGUGCUAGAGUGUGGAAGAGGGUCGUGGAAUUCCCAGUGUAGAGGUGAAAUUCGUAGGUAUUGGGAAGAACACCGGUGGCGAAGGCGGCGACCUGGUCCGUUACUGACGCCGAGGCGCGAAAGCGUGGGGAGCAAACAGGAUUAGAUACCCGCGUAGUCCCUGUCUCUUAUAC
rnacentral:rRNA from 1 species